AAAACUUGAACAUUGUUUUGGGUAUCAUCGAUAUAUGUGCAGCGACCUAUAAUUAGGUUUGGUCGACGGCUUUUUUCUUAUAAAUCAGGUUUUAUAUAGUUCUCUCUUAAAAGCUUCUAGGCAUGAAUUAUCUAUAGGUUAAUUGAGGAGCAUGGCUGGCCUGGGAACAAGUUCUGGGGAUUGACUUUGCAAUGGCACAAUAGUCGAUGCGAGAAGAGAUUCCUCAACGAGGCUACAAAGUAAUAUAGUGGUCCUAUUCUUUGCUUUUGCACCUCUUUUUUCUUCUUUUCCAUACAUUUUUCUCACAAUUUAUUCUUUCUUUUUUUUCUGCAUUUUUUGUGACCUCGCAUUUACAUCACCUAAGCAAAUAUAUUAUGAACUGUAAGGUAAAAAUACUUCUUUUUUUUUUUGUAAACUGAAGGUAAAAAUACUUUUGAAACAAACUUUUCUUAAUAGUUUAUAUACUCCAAACUAUAUUGUGUCUGAUUUUAAAUCCCUUUCUAUAGUAAUUAUUCAUAAACUCAAAUAACAUGUAUUACCAGCAAAACUAUUAUAGUUUUUCUUUUUCCCAAAAAAGAACAAUAGGCAUGCAUAACUACAAAAGCUUGUAUUUUUGGAUGAAGAAUUCAACGCUAAGUUUGAC
rnacentral:lncRNA from 1 species